AUUGAACGCUGGCGGCAUGCUUUACACAUGCAAGUCGAACGGUAACAGGCCGCAAGGUGCUGACGAGUGGCGAACGGGUGAGUAAUGCAUCGGAACGUGCCCAGUCGUGGGGGAUAACGCAGCGAAAGCUGUGCUAAUACCGCAUACGAUCUAUGGAUGAAAGCGGGGGACCGUAAGGCCACGCGCGAUUGGAGCGGCGCAUGUCAGAAUAGGUAGUUGGUGGGGUAAAGGCCUACCAAGCCGACGAUCUGUAGCUGGUCUGAGAGGACGACCAGCCACACUGGGACUGAGACACGGCCCAGACUCCUACGGGAGGCAGCAGUGGGGAAUUUUGGACAAUGGGCGCAAGCCUGAUCCAGCAAUGCCGCGUGCAGGAAGAAGGCCUUCGGGUUGUAAACUGCUUUUGUACGGAACGAAACGGUCUGGGUUAAUACCCUGGGCUAAUGACGGUACCGUAAGAAUAAGCACCGGCUAACUACGUGCCAGCCGCCGCGGUAAAAC
rnacentral:rRNA from 1 species